GACGAACGCUGGCGGCGUGCUUAACACAUGCAAGUCGAGCGGUAAGGCCCUUUCGGGGGUACACGAGCGGCGAACGGGUGAGUAACACGUGGGUGACCUGCCCUCAGCUCUGGGAUAAGCCUGGGAAACCGGGUCUAAUACCGGAUACGACUCCAUGACGCAUGUUGUGGGGUGGAAAGCCUUGUGCGGCUGAGGAUGGGCCCGCGGCCUAUCAGCUUGUUGGUGGGGUGAUGGCCACCAAGGCGACGACGGGUAGCCGGCCUGAGAGGGCGACCGGCCACACUGGGACUGAGACACGGCCCAGACUCCUACGGGAGGCAGCAGUGGGGAAUCUUGCGCAAUGGGCGAAAGCCUGACGCAGCGACGCCGCGUGAGGGAUGACGGCCUGGUGUAAC
rnacentral:rRNA from 1 species